GCGGCGCCCUAGCCAAGUAUGGAAUGGUGGCUGCUAGUCUGCGUGGCCGUCCUCUGGCCGGGUGAGUAAGCCUUUUACCCGCUUCUGGGGUCUCGGGCGGGUGACCACCGCCCCCGCCAACUUCCCUCCGCCCCUGCCCAGUCGGUCGCCAUGGUGUUUAAGUUAGGUUUUUAAGGCGUCCUCCAGCCGACGGGUGGGACGGAUUGGCAACUCUGCCAAAAAAUGCGGGAAGGGGCGGCGGUCCGCUCUUUCCAUCUUCUGGCUGGGAUCUCUGUAGCUGGCCGGGUGGAGGCGCCCAAACCCAUCCACCGGGACCGGAAGCGUUUAAUCUGGCUUCCCGUCGGGCUGGUAGCGGUGGUGGUUCCCCGAUCCGGCUGUUGGGCUUAUAUAACUGCGGUCGAUAAUUAACGGCCACCGUACUGUCCGCCGUUAAUUAUCGACCACAGUUAUCAGACUGUCCGGGCAGAAAAGCGAGACGCCUUUCGAUUUUAUUCCGUCUCUCCAACCGUAUCACAGUAGGUAAAAGUGGCACCCCUCGGGAAUCCGUCACUCUUUGGUAGCUGGUGGCAUUUAGCGCGCCGCAGCCAAUCGACGGCAAACGUCGACGAAAGGUGGGGCCGAAGAGGGGAAUUUUCCCAGACCGUGGCCGAGUGGGGUCCGGUCGGCCUCCCUUCUUCCUUCCGGUAUUCGUUUUUAAACUGGGAAGUUUUCCCGGCGGGAUCGGCGGUCUGGGCCGCCUUUAGCCGGGAGACCGAGGGACGGAGGGUGAUGACGAGUGAGGCUGCCGGUGCCGUUAACUUUCUCCCUUUCGGAUCUUCUAUCCACUCACCUAGAUAUAUUCGGAUAAACAUAGGCGACCGUGGGAAGACGACUGCCGGUUAGGUCCGACCCGCUACUGUACGGGCCAAGGUCGAGUAUCGUUUAUCCCGAGCAACAACGGGUCUCCUUCAGUUUGCCGGGCUAGCGUGGGUAGGCAGGAAUUUCCCGACAACGCUACCAGUGUUGGAACCGACUGACCUUCCUCUUCACCUACUUCCGUUUUUUCCAAUUUCGUCCGGUUGGUAAUUUUCUCGGAGUCGGAGGCGGCCGGCUUAGCCCCGCUACUCGGCGUGGUGGGCCGACUUAAUACGGCCGGAGUAAGGAUUUUUCCCACUCCGGUGGGCUAUACCGGGCGGGGUGUAGUUUUGGCCGAGAUUAGCCAAUUUCGGCGGGCCACCUGCACCUAGGGGAAAAUAGUCUGGCUGGGUAGUCGACGGCCGAGUAGAAAAGAAAGUCUAGAACCGAAGUUAAAACGUGGAAUGCGUUUAAACUUCGGAAUACUUAAAGUUUUCUCUGGGUUUUCCACCAACCGGAGACCGUUGCUUAUCGAAAAAUUUGAUGAGCCACAGCAAAUUUCGCUUCCGACGUGUUUCGUUUACCACGGAGAAUAUUCGAGUUUGGGAGGUGGAAGAAUGAUCGGUGGCUGGGAAGAGACAUUUCCACCUCCACCAAUAUUUAAAACACCCGCCACCGGAUAUAAUAACAUCGUUUCCUAUAUUAGAACUUCUUUUAGGAAGUUUGGGCGCAACUACCAAUCGGACUCCCACCCAGAAAUCUACCAUCCGCGCAUGCGCGACGUUGUUUUUGUUUGGUGGCUUUUCCUACCUGUGGCGGCGAGAUGGCCGAUUCAAAAAACGGUCUUUUAUCGACUCGUGUUUUCCGGACGAGAAAGAAACCGUCUCGGCUUCCACGCGUCUAAAAUUCGCCGUCAGCGGUUUAUUAUAAUAGACCAUGGGUACAAUUUUAUAUCAGCGCCGUACCGGCGAAGGCGGUGCCGGUCGAGGGACGGCCAUCGAUAGAGAGGACUUUUCGACAGGACUAUACUUCUAUCUGAACAGAGGUGGAGAAAAUAAAGAAUGAAAUCGCAGUAUUUCUCCACACGUCGUAUCUGGACCGGUGCGCGCCGUCAUUUUGAAAAAUUGUUUCCCGAAACAAUAGUUUUUGGAACGAACCUUUAACGCAACGGAAUCGACCAUUGGUAUUUUAAUGUGUGUCGGACCACGGGGGCCAAUCUUUAAUUGUUUAAUGUAUAAUUUUUUCCAAAAGUGAAAUUAAAGUAUCGAAAUGGAAGAUUUUCCUUCCCGGCGGUUGACGAUUCCAAGUGCCAAUGGCAAUUCCGUCGUGUUAAAGAUUCGUUCCGAAAAACUAUACGCUAUAAAAUUAGAUCGGUCGCCCGCCGACUGAUGAUUAAAAUAUCGACCGACCAUUACCUGGUAUUAAAGAUCGAUUCCAAAUUUAUAUCGGCUUUCAAAACAAGUGUUCAAAAUGGCGGCGCUCACCGGUUUGGGUUCGGCGUAUGGAGAAACACUAUAAUUCCGCGAUUGGUUUUCUCGACGCCCGCACCAGACACAGGAGCAGUCCUGGAGAGCAGAUUUCUCUACCGGUGGUGGUCUUUCCAUCGGUACUGUUUUUAUUGAUACUGCGCUAAUGUAAAACCGUACCAGACCAACUUUCUCGGAGAUAAUAGAGAAUGGAGAGAAUUUACGAUAAAGAUCAUCUGGAGUCGGAGGUUGGAAGUAACGUCGAGCGCCGAAGCCACCGAAUGUCAUUUCGAAUAGAUAGGAAAUAACGUCGAUGGAUACGUUAUUCAGUUAUGGAUCUUUUGGGUGGUGGUCGAAGCGAUUACCGAUAACCUUCCGAAAAGAUUCGAUUUUCUGGUUCAGUAACGGUCGGAGCCGAGCGGUAAGUGGAUCGAAACCAGUGGUGAGCCGUAAGGGCUGGCGCCAGCCCUUUGUUAAAUUUAUCUGUAAUUCGACAGCCUUUCAUUCUUUUUGUUGGCUGGUUUAUUGAUUCCAAGAAAAAUAUUGUCUCGCCUGUGAUAAUCCUACUUACUUGUCUUUCACUUCUCGGUGUUUGCGUAUUUGAAUGUACAGGUGGAAUAGUGGCCAUCUGCCAUAACGUUCUACCACAGGGACUUACCGCGCAAAAAACCUCUAGGAUGAAGAAAGCAUUAAGAAAAAUUAAUUCUAAACCUUACGUACAAACAUUUUCGAAAAAUCCUGCAAGAUAAUCAACUGAGAUGGAAGAAGAAGAAGAAGAAAAUAAUACGUAGCAGCUUUGGGCAUAAAUUGUGCGGCAUAAUUAAAUUUACCGCUUAUUUUAUACGAUUUUAUUUUUUAAAUUUGAAAAUGUUUUCUCAGACACACGCAAUUAUUUGUAUUUUUUAUUUUUAUACGAUAAAGUGCCAGCCCCGUGUUAAAAUUUUCAUAGCUGACCACUGGUCGAAACUCCCUAAUAUCCAUAUGGACGAUAACUACGUAACAGGUGUGCUAAAAAUAUUGGCUAGAAACGGGUAAAAGUCCGUUUUCCUAUUUAAAUUAUUUUUGCUAGAUUAUAAGCAUUUACCUAGCGGAGUCGGUGAUGAGCACCGGGGACCAUAGUUUAAACGCUUAAAUGUUUGGGGCCACGGUGGCCGGAUAGCCACCCGCUAAGACCUCGGCCGGACAGGCGGGAGGACCCAGAGCGCGGCAUCUCCCGAAAAGUUUUUUCGGGAUUCCGGACCGGGCCCAUCCUCCGGCGUCCAGUCCCCGUCCACGUCUCUGGGUGCAGCCGGUGAUGGGAACUGGCCCGGCUCCCGAGUCAUCUCCCCAUGGGAAAGGGGCGUAAAGAGUACGGUAGAAUAAUUCGUCGGUCCGACGGUGGCGGUAGGUUGAGCGCGGUCCAGAACCGACGGGCGCUCUACCUACCGCCAUAUAGGCUCUCUGGCCCCGUCUUUCUUAGAAAGGAGAGACCAGUAUUUUCCAGCCGGACGCCAUGGAUUCGGACCCGAGUGGAAGAGAAAGCGGGAAAUAUCCGGGAAUAAAAAGAUAUCCGGGUAGUAGGCCUACUAUAUACUUCGGUAGAAGAUGGAUAACCACCCAACAGUAAUAAUCGGCCGAAGGCAGUUACGGAAAAAUGGCGAAACCUAUCUUCCACCCCAUCUUUUUCAGGCUGACACGGAUGUUGGGCCCACUUUUCGGCGCCGUCUCCCCACGCCAGGCUACAGUGGGCGUUGGGAAGACUGGUAGGCCAUAUUCGGCGGGACCCCAGGCCAUCCGGUCGCGUGCUACACCUAUUUCUCUUACAAAGUUGUCAAAAAUUUUUUUUUAAUAAAAUAUUACGGAUAACCAGUAGGAAAGGAGUAGCGGUCGAUUUCCAUCCCAUAAAGGGCUAGACCGAAUAAUUUAUAUAGUUAAAUUAACGGUGCCACUUGACAAAAACCGAUUGGGGCCAGCCGUCCAAGGUGGCUACCCAUCACCGCGGCCCACCGAUUCGAUGGGCCAGACCUCCCGAUUAACCCUUCGAUCACCGGGGGAAAGGUAUGGAAGAGGCUUGCGGCCCGACAAAAUAUUACCGGUUACCGUUUCCUUUACCAUUUAUCCGGGUCUUUUGCAGGGCGGUCCAGACCCCCAGGCGGGCACCGGCGCCGCUUUCUAACCGCUGGUCUAAGGGGAAGGCGAUCUUCCCGGAUGGGGAAAAUACCUACUGCCGAAUAUCUAAGAGAGAAAAGUUAAGGCUGAAUAGGGGGUAAAUAUUAUCCCCUAAUAUUAUCGAGGUGUGAAAAGUUUUUCGAAAGAAAGUCUACCCAUAUAUAGGUGUAAAGACCACCGAGGCGAAAUUUUUAUGGCUUCGAAAAAUUGCCAACGAGGGGUAGGAGGCGCUGCCAUUAACAACUAGCCUAACUAAAACCCUACUAUUUACGGGUUGUGGGUAGGAGAGAAAACUGAUAUAAUUAUCUUAAAAUAUUGAAUAAAUGGGGAAGAAUUUAAGGCCCCAUCUUCUAUUCUUACGAUGAUUAAUAAAUAGACGCCGACCCAGUCAGCCCGACUAAAUUAAGGGCGGACGGAAAUCUUCCGGAAUCCAGAGUGGCUACAAUGGACCAGAAAUAAAUAUUUUAACCGGCCAGUUAUAAGGUUCCGAAAUAAAAGUCCCCGAUUAUUUUACCUGGACUUGGUUACAAUUUUUCCUUUCCGUUCCGGCUAAUAGCCCAGGCGGCCUUAAUUAAGGGCCCGACCGCUAGCCUCUUCUAUGGAGUGCCGUUCCACCUACAGCCGUCCUAUUUAAGGCCCUAUUUAAAUUACCGACGGAAUAGCGGUAUGUAGGAACGGAAAAACUUGCCCACGGCUGGGCGAGCCAUUUUCCGGACCAAAAUACCUUUAAGCCACUCGGGACCGGGAUUCUCCGUCCUCCACUCGGCUCCUUUUCCUAACUAGGCUGUAGAAAAGUGGGAAAGAUCAGCCCGGCCUAUUAAAACGGGUAACUUUGGGUAGGGAACCCGCCCUAGGCGGAAUUAAAAGAAUCCAGUUCCCAUCGGACCGUAGGGAAUUAGGGCCCGACUCAUCGACCCGGGUAAAUAACGCUCCUCGUGUCAGAGAUAACGGCCGCACUUAAGUAACCUACGGUUAAUAGACGGAAGGUCUAACCGGAUACGGUGUAGGCUAUCGGGCCCCACCGGAUCCACGGCCAGACGUUUUCCCUGGCUAAAAUUUUCAGUUUUCCUGGCAGACGCUCCCCACCGGCUACCUUAACCUAUCUUCUAAAGAAAAUAGGCCAUUCCAACCGGUAGAUAGGUGAAGAAAGGAAAGCUGGUGGCCCACCAGCUUUUCCGUACCAAUGUUCCAAAAUUAGACCGGUCCCUAUUCACCGGAUUUCCCGGUUUCCGUCAUCACUGAUUGGGAAAUUUCUCGAAACGGCACUUAUUGGCAGCGCACUGCCGUUUGGCGCCACUCCAUUUUUUCCCGCGCUCCACUGGAAUAUCCAUACACCGUCAGUAACGGUUGGUUUCGCUCCAAGUUUACCACGGUUAUUUUUAGCGUCUGGUAGAGGUGGCUGUCUUUCCCAUUCUAUAUUUUUAUGGCCGAGGUAGAAAUGGGAUAAGCCCGUGAUAAAUCCGACAUUUGAUUUUGGAAGGUUUCUCACAUUCGCCACCGAUGUAGAAAUCGUAACCGUAGGUUCUUUAAUCAUUUUCGGACGUUUAUCACAGUUUCCACCCGAUUUUAAGAGAUUCGGAAGAGAAAAGCCGCGUGCUCCCAACAUUCCCACCCGCGGCGCAGACCUACUCUCCCUUUCCAGAAUUUUCUCUCACGGCAGAAUACGGGUCGGGCCGGCCCGACACAACGCCACCCACCAUCCCGUGGAAUUUUUUCCGGUCGAGGGUCGAGUCCCACUAGCCCGGAACUGCGGCGGAGAAUACCAGCCUGACCCCAGCGCCGCGGUUUUGAUCUACCUUCGAAUAAAAACAGCCAUCGUCCAGAGUCUCGAGGGAUUCGACUUACGGGGCGGGGUCGGGUCAGUCUAGAUAAGGUCCCCCUAUUUUUUGACCUCGAAUUGUCGGCUACUGUCACCGAGUGGAGAUGGCGAGACGUUUGGAUAGCCAAUGGGCCGUAUCCAUUUUUAUAGGAAAUGAAUGUUAUCGCGACAUUUUCUCUUCCUCGACUGUGUCAGUUUUCUCAUUUACCGCAGUUAAGACGGCUUUGGUAGACAGCCGGGACAUUGCCUCCAUUUGGUCGGGCAGAAAACCGACGGCCCGAAGAACCUGGAGGAAAGCGUAACUUACGACCACAAUAGAAACCCACCGAUGGAAUUGCUCCGUGUUUAUCCGCGGUAGAACUAACCUUAACGGAAUGGUGCCAACAGGCGGGCGUCCUCCACACGUAUGUGUCAGUAUGACAAACGACUAAAAUCUCGAAACGAGAAAACCACCGUUCAGAAAAAUCCUCCAACCUGUUACGAGGAGGACCCACCGCUUUGGUGAAAAUAAGCCUGGUCUCCAUCCUUUUUUUCGACUUUUAAUCUUCUUACUCGGACUCCGUCCAUACUUUGCCAACCAACACUCCUUUUCGUCCGCCUGGUUUUUAUUUUCGUAUUCUAUAUGGACCAGAAACCUAAUUUUCCAGCAAUCGGUGGUUUCCCGCCAUUCUACUCCGUCGGAUACGGAUUCCGGGAUAUUUUUAUCGCGCCCAUGCCUAGGCCUAAACUCCGACCGGUGGCCCAUCUAUAUCGGGGCUAAUAGGACCGAGCUCAGCCCAGGAUCCAGUAGCCUCCCGGGGAAUUACUACACCAACCGUGUAAAAUAAAACCAAUUUAUUAAUUAUUUAAAAUUUUUCGAUGUUUACCUAAAAAUUUUAAGAAGGUGGACGGUUAAAAAUCCCAUUUCGGGGUUGGAUGUAGCCUAAUGGCGCCCGAGUAAAUAAACAUUCUACGCAUGCGCUAGUCAAUUUGAGCGCACCCAGGCUAGUGGCCGCCAUGAAAAAUCUCCAAAAGAUUAACAAGUCCGUCGGUGCACCAGAUACGGUCUCUCGGGAAAGGUUUCUGUACCGCGGUCGUUUUUCCAACGGUCCCGCCUGGGUUACUACGGCGACGGUAACGUAAUAAAGGUGACUCGAUUAAGGCCGGCCAGCUCCAAAUCCGUAACGCGCCAUUUAAUCCUGUAACGGACCGUAUCCGGGUGAUUAAGACCGGCCCGAAUAAAAACCCCGUCAAAGCACCGUCAACACGUUUCUAGCCCAGACUGGUUUUCCACUACCGAUUACUACAGAAAUCAGCCAUUUGUUCCUCUACUUCCUCGGCGCCCUUUCUCCUACUUUACAUCGCGCUUCCUAUCUACUCGGCGCUUCCAAUUCUUCUUCUUCAGAUAAUAUGGAGGGUAUGGCGCUUCCGAUCACUCGUUCCAUUAAAUAGUGGAGAGCUGGGCCCGGUCUGUCUAUCGGCUACCGUAAUCCACCUAUCCAGCGAUAUCGGCCGCAACCAAUCGUAUUCCACCUCACCCGGAAGACGAUUAAUGACAGCAUAUACAAUUAUCUGUUCGUUUACCGUCUUCCGACCUACUACCUGUUCCGUUUUCCGGUCCUGUCGCAACCUCCACCGGUUUGGUCAAUCUCGGCCCUACUCGUCGCGAGUAUUUAAAUGGUCGGUUUUCCACUCUGGAAGACUCGAUCCCAGUCCCGGAAAAUGUUCAUCACGGUCGUCCGUUCUCGUCCUCCGCCGGGGUGGACAGCCGCCGAAGAGCUGGUUUGGCUCGCCACUUACAACUUAGUAUUCUUCUAGCGUGUGCUAAAGUGGCGUCAUCUGUUGACAAAAAAUAUUUAAAUUCUGUUUUUAAUCUAUUUCGAUGUUUG
rnacentral:lncRNA from 1 species